AAAGGGAGCUGUGCUUUCCAGGAGGCUCCUGGGGUUGGUGCCUACACCACUCAAAGCCAGGACUUAGCUUCAAAUCUCCCUUUUGGGAUAAAAAGAGGGCUGCUCCAAGGCCAUGGAUCGAGGACUGAGCAAGUCCAGUUCACAGUUUUGAAUGUUCCUGCUCAGGAUUUGCUAAAGGAACACACCAGUUGCAGAAAACACUCCAGAAUAUCACCAAAAAGAGGAUUGGGCAAUUUCAAGUUUUUGAUGAACCAUCAUUCCAGCUUCCAAAUCUCCUGUGAGGACAAGGAUCUCUGAGCUGCCACCUCCUGAUCCAGUUCACCCUCUGCCUGCUGGAUGCACACUGCUGAACUGGAGGCUGCCUUAGCCCUGCUGGAGGUGAAGCAAAGCCUGAUCUGUGGAAGCCCGGGAAUGGCAGUGCAGCACCUGCUCAGGUGGCACCUGUGGGACACUGUCAGGACUCCUCCCAGCUGCCAGCGAGGGACAGGAGGGGCAGUUUGCAUAGCCUGAGGUAAUGAUGGCUUUGGUGCAGAGAGGAUGGGCACUGGGAUGUACUUCAGGGUAGAGCCAGCUCACUAAUUCGUGCUGUGAAGGUGGAAAACAUCUCCUUGCCUUGGUGAGGAAUUAAAGGAUCAAGAUGAUGCUGAUACAGGUCAGAAAGAGAGGCUGCCAUGGCCCAUGCCAGGAUAUCUCCUUUAUUUGUUCAGGUGACAGCAUUUCCUGUGCAAAGGACUGCCAGGUGCUGAGCUGCUCAUGAAUGCUGCUCCCCACCAAGGCUGAUCCAGCAGCAAGCCCUCCGAGGACACCAGUGACUCUGGCUGAUGCUCCCCUGUCCCAUCCUCAUCAUGUGAUGCCUUAAAAACGCUUCAGACUUGCAUGAGGUUAAACUGCUGCUGCUUCACAGUGCACUUCAUCUCCUGGAAUGAGCUGUGUUUACAGUUGCCUCAAGGACAAGGAACAACAUUUCUCCAUUAUGCUUCUGUUGCCUC